GGGGGAUCAGGUUUCCAGCAUGGACGUGCUGCUGGGAGAUGUUGGCAGUUGUCCGAUUCAGCCUGGAAGCUGUUGAGAUGCUGAGGUGAGACAGGGUCUUUCUAUGUUGCCAGGCUGGUCUCGAACUCCUGGCCUCAAGCAAUCCUCCCACUUUGUCCUCUCAGAGCACUAGGAUUACAGGCUGGAGUGCAAUGGCAUGAUCUCAGCUCACUGCAACCUCUACCUCCGGGUUCAAGCAAUUCUCGAGCCUCAGCCUCCCAAGUAGCUGAAAUUACAGACGUGUGCCACCAUGCCCAGCUGUUUUUCUAUUUUUAGUAAAGAUGGAGUUUGACCACAUUGGCCAGGCUGCUCUCAAACUCCUGACCUCAAGUGCUUCACCUGCCUCAGCCUCUCGAAGUGAUGGGAUUACAGGUAUGAGCCACCAGGCCUGGCUGCUUGUUUGUUUUUUUAAGAGACAGGGUCUCACUAUGUUGUUCAGGCUGGUCUCAAACUCCUGGCCUCAACUCCUCCUCCUGCCUCGGCCUCCCAAAGUGCUGGGAUGGGAUCACAGGCAUGAGCCGCUGUGCCCGGCUAAUAUGUUGUGUUUUAAUUUUCGUUCAAUUCCACUAUGUUGUAAUUUCCAUUGCUGUUAGCCAUUCCUGUGUGUCCCUGGGCAGACAAGAGAAGCAGGGGCUGGGGGACACACAGGAGGGGACUCUGGGAUUUUGUGCUGCCCCAGGCCAAUCCCCAGAGAAUGCUACAAGAGAGAGUCUGCGCCAGGGUUCCCAGGGCCUCCUAAAUGCCUUCCCAGCACAGACUCUCAGGCCAUCCUACCUGGGGUGGCAUUAGGGCUGCCACCUUCCUCAUGCUGGGCCCCCUUAGCACCCAGGGGCCACUUCACCCAUGCUCUAAGGGGAACGGCUGCUUCCCUGGAUGGCUCUGGGUCCGCUGGCCUCACUGCUGGCCAGGGACAGUGGGUUAGCACCUCCUAGUCUUGAUGUCCCUGUGCUCACUUUGGAGUAGGGAGCGCUGGGAUUCCUUAUCCAAGGUCACCCAGCCAGGAGGGUCUGGUGUCAGAGCAGAAGUGGGAGAGGCAUCUUCCGGAGGCAUCUGCAGCGCUCGGGGAAGGCCUGCUACAGGAAGCAAUGGCACAGGGAGCCAGGCUGGGGUGCCUGGUGCCAGUAUCACCCCAUUCCAUUCACUCUUGCUUUCCUUAUGGAACCUAGGCAGGCAUCUGUGUUUCGGAGCCAAGAGGCAAGGACACGUUUGAGAAGAACUGCCAGGUCCUGAACCACAGCUUCACCCCAUAGCCAGAUUCAACCCUGGCAUGGGAGCUGGCUCUGCUUAUGGGCCAAGGCAGGAAGGGGGAUGACCCUGCCACCUACCACCGUGCUCACCUUGGACCCUUCUUGUUACUCCUGAGAUGAAAAAGGGGAGUGGGGGAGAGAGUCCGGCAGGGUUCCCAGGGCCUGACUCAGGCACUGAGAUGGUAGGGAGGUGGGUACCACUGCCAGGAGGCUCUGCCCCACCCUGCCCCGCCCUGCGGGAAUGUGCCUUUUCCGUGAGUCCCCGCCUGCCACAGGUGCCUGCCCUGGGCCCUUGGCUGGGGACAGUGGCUGGCAGGGCCCCAGCUGAGUGCCUUUGCCGCCCCGCCACCCCCACAGACAGGGCCCCUGGCGCAGCAACCUGCCCCAGCCCCUUUGUGCAGACGGCUCCCAAGCUUCCCAGAACUUGCCGGUGGCGUUGUGUUCUUGUGCCAAAUUAGCCACCCUUAACUCAAGAGCCCGCCGCCCAAGCCCGCGGCAGGAGCUGACUCACUCACUCCAGACCACUCAAAACGCACAGCCCCCCAUAAGGCCUCGCUCUGCCGAGGGCCUGGCUGCAGCAGGAGCUCAUUGGAGGGGGCUUUGGGCGGAGGGUGGGCGCUCCCACCAUUUAAGGAGGCAGCUGUGCCCACAGCUUCACUCCAGCUCUGGGAGGGCGGCUCAGUCGUUCUGCCCUAAGAGCAGCCCCAGGUAAGAGGAGACGGUGGCAGGUCUAACCCUCAGGCUGUCCAAGUCAGGCCCCAGGAGGGACGAAGCCUCAGUCUCCCUCCUGAGUCUUCCUGUCGGCCUCUCUGGGUGGCUUGAGCAAGGCGAACACAGGGGGCUUAAGCCCUGGGGGAAACCGAGGCGGCUGCAGGUCCCAGGGCACAGCCCGCACAGCCCCGGCUGGGUGUUGCUGAUGAACGCCUUGGGCAGUCCCCUGAUCCUACAGGACACUGGUAAAUGUAAACUAGGCCUCCGCAUUCCCACCAAGCCCCCACCAGGAGUGAUCCCCGAGCAGAGACAAAGAAGCCCAGAGAGCCCCCCACUGCAUCUCCCCAACCCAGCCCACCUCACAGGGUAUCCCCCAGCAGCCUGACUCAUGGCACUGUCUCCUGGUGCUCCUGCUGAGACCCAUGCUGUCCCCAACCCUGAGACCCCCCAGUGUCACUGACAGACAGGCAGAAGGCCUACUGAUUGGGGCCAGUGCACUGCUGGGGUGAAAAUCUAAGAAGGCAGGUGUAGGGGCCCUCGGAUGAGUUCUGCCCGGGCUCAGGCCCUACUCCACUGCUCUCCGGCUGUGUGACCUCGGGCAAGCCUCUGACCCUCUCUGAGCCUGUGUUCCUCAUCCAUUACCUGGGAAGAAUCAUGCCUGCAUCACUGCAUCUGAAGGUUCAGCCUGUGGACACCUGCUGAACAACUGAACAAAGAAAUGAAUGAGCGUGUGAAUGGAUGAAUGAAAAAUGCACGUGUGAGUGACUGAGUGAGUGAGUGAGUGAGUGGAUGCCUGCUGACAACACUCUCAAUGCUGCAUGCCAUGGGACCGGUGUUUUCAGCUUCUUGGGAAGCUCCUUGGGGAAGGGACCCAGAUGGGGGCGCUGCUGUGCAAAUGAGAGUCCAGAGACAGUGGCCUGGACCAGCAUGGUCUCCAGCCCUGCGACUGCUGCCUUCUCCAGCACAGUGGCCUCACCUGUUAGCCCCAAACAUUGACUCCUGGCUCACUGAACAGCAGAAAGGUGGUAAAAGUCAAGUUCUCUGCCAAGGAAGCCUGGUCUGCGGCGGUAUCACCUCUCUACCCACCACAAUGGUCCUAUAAACUCUGCUAAAGUCUGUUUUGGACCAACGAUGGUGGCUCACACCUGUGGUCCCAGUGCUUUGAGAUGCUGAGGCAGGAGGAUGACUUGAGCCCAGAAGUUUGAGACCAGCAUGGGCAGCAUGGUAGGAAUCCUGUCUCUACCAAAAAAAAAAAAUUAAUUAGCUGGGUACAGUGGCUCACACCUGUGGUCCCAGCUACUUGGGAGGCUGAGGCAGGAGGAUCUCUUGAGCCUGGGAAGUUGAGGUGGCAGUGAGCUAUGAUUGUGCCACUGCACUCCAGCCUGGCUGACAGAGUGAGACCCUGUCUCAAAAAUACAAUAAAAUCUGUGUUUUAUUAAAUUAAAAAGUUAUACAUAAGGGAAGUCCCAGCCACCCACUUUGGGGGACACCUCCCAAGGGAAGAUAGCACCCUCAGACUUCAAGCCCUGGAGCCAGGGCCCCGCCUGGUGGAUGCCUGCCUGAAGCUGGAAGCCCCACUCUGAGGGACAGGAGGACAGCAGUCGGCCUUGGGAAGAGGUGGGAGAAGGACUUCAAGCAGUGUCCUGCUUCCAGCCACUCCGAGAAUGGGGACGUCUGGGCCGUGCUCCACACCCAGAACCUGGCCCCAAAGAGCCGCCCGACAGGAGCCGGCCAGUGGACUGAGGGCCAAUGGCAGCGAGGAUGGAAGUCAUCCGAGGCCUGGAAACCUGCCGGGCCCGUGGUCAGUCCUGAAGGCUCCCGGGGUCUCCACAGUUGGGGAGUGGGGCGAGAGCAGUGGCUUGGAGUUGAACUGACUGAAAUUCUGCCCUGGAACAUGCAGUUCCUUCUCUGCCACGAGCCUCUCCAUGCUGGGCGCUAUGCCAGCCUCUUCAUAGGUAAAGGGGAGACCCCCAAUCCGCCAGCAGCUUUGUCGCCAGGACCCAGCCUCCGCACUCAGAGAGGCCUCAGCAUUUACUGUGGGGACACACAGGCACUGGAAUCAGGGCCCAGAGCUGCACCAUCCAGCAUGGAGCUGCCAGCCACGUUGGCCCCGAGUGUCCACAGGUGGCCGGGCCUUAAGGGGACCCUGUGUAUAUGAAAUACAGCCCCGUCCCAAAGACUCAGCAAGAAAAUGACUGCAGGAGGCAUUUCUCUGUGCUGAUGACCUGUGGAGAGGACCACAUUUGGGGCAUGUUGAGUUCAAAGCUCAUUAUUGAAACUAAUGGCACCUGUCCGGUUUCCUUUUGUACGAGGCUAUUACAAAAUUGAAACUUUGCUGUGUGGCUCACACUCAUCCUGGUUCCUGUACAGCACUGGUCUGGA